AGCGAACGCUGGCGGCAGGCUUAACACAUGCAAGUCGAGCGAUUCUCUUCGGAGAAGAGCGGCGGACGGGUGAGUAACGCGUGGGUAACCUGCCCUGUACACACGGAUAACAUACCGAAAGGUAUGCUAAUACGAGAUAAUAUGCUUUUAUCGCAUGGUAGAAGUAUCAAAGCUUUUGCGGUACAGGAUGGACCCGCGUCUGAUUAGCUAGUUGGUAAGGUAACGGCUUACCAAGGCGACGAUCAGUAGCCGACCUGAGAGGGUGAUCGGCCACAUUGGAACUGAGACACGGUCCAAACUCCUACGGGAGGCAGCAGUGGGGAAUAUUGCACAAUGGGCGAAAGCCUGAUGCAGCAACGCCGCGUGAGCGAUGAAGGCCUUCGGGUCGUAAAGCUCUGUCCUCAAGGAAGAUAAUGACGGUACUUGAGGAGGAAGCCCCGGCUAACUACGUGCCAGCCGCCGCAGUAA
rnacentral:rRNA from 1 species